rnacentral:rRNA from 1 species
AUUGAACGCUGGCGGCAUGCUUUACACAUGCAAGUCGAACGGUAACAGGCCGCAAGGUGCUGACGAGUGGCGAACGGGUGAGUAAUGCAUCGGAACGUGCCCAGUCGUGGGGGAUAACGCAGCGAAAGCUGCGCUAAUACCGCAUACGAUCUAUGGAUGAAAGCGGGGGACCGUAAGGCCUCGCGCGAUUGGAGCGGCCGAUGUCAGAUUAGGUAGUUGGUGGGGUAAAGGCUCACCAAGCCAACGAUCUGUAGCUGGUCGGAGAGGACGACCCGCCACACGGGGACUGAGACACGGCUCAGACUCCUACGGGAGGCAGCAGUGGGGAAUUUUGGACAAUGGGCGCAAGCCUGAUUCAGCAAUGCCGCGUGCAGGAAGAAGGCCUUCGGGUUGUAAACUGCUUUUGUACGGAACGAAACGGUCCUGGUUAAUACCUGGGGCUAAUGACGGUACCGUAAGAAUAAGCACCGGCUAACUACGUGCCAGCCGCCGCGGUAAAAC